GACGAACGCUGGCGGCGUGCCUAAUACAUGCAAGUUGAGCGCUGAAGGUUGGUACUUGUACCAACUGGAUGAGCAGCGAACGGGUGAGUAACGCGUGGGGAAUCUGCCUUUGAGCGGGGGACAACAUUUGGAAACGAAUGCUAAUACCGCAUAAAAACUUUAAACACAAGUUUUAAGUUUGAAAGAUGCAAUUGCAUCACUCAAAGAUGAUCCCGCGUUGUAUUAGCUAGUUGGUGAGGUAAAGGCUCACCAAGGCGAUGAUACAUAGCCGACCUGAGAGGGUGAUCGGCCACAUUGGGACUGAGACACGGCCCAAACUCCUACGGGAGGCAGCAGUAGGGAAUCCUCGGCAAUGGACGAAAGUCUGGCCGAGCAACGCCGCGUGAGUGAAGAAGGUUUUCGGAUCGUAAAACUCUGUUGGUAGAGAAGAACGUUGGUGAGAGUGGAAAGCUCAUCAAGUGACGGUAACUACCCAGAAAGGGACGGCUAACUACGUG
rnacentral:rRNA from 1 species